GGAUGAACGCUAGCUACAGGCUUACCACAUGCAAGUCGAGGGGAAACGGCAUUAAGUGCUUGCACUUUUUGGACGUCGACCGGCGCACGGGUGAGUAACGCGUAUCCAACCUUCCCAUGACUAAGGGAUAACCUGCCGAAAGGCAGACUAAUACCUUAUGGUCUUCACUGACGGCAUCAGAUGUGAAGUAAAGAUUUAUCGGUUAUGGAUGGGGAUGCGUCUGAUUAGCUUGUUGGCGGGGUAACGGCCCACCAAGGCAACGAUCAGUAGGGGUUCUGAGAGGAAGGUCCCCCACAUUGGAACUGAGACACGGUCCAAACUCCUACGGGAGGCAGCAGUGAGGAAUAUUGGUCAAUGGGCGAGAGCCUGAACCAGCCAAGUAGCGUGCAGGAUGACGGCCCUAUGGGUUGUAAACUGCUUUUGUAUGGGGAUAAAGUCAAUCACGUGUGAUUGUUUGCAGGUACCAUACGAAUAAGGACCGGCUAAGUCCGUG
rnacentral:rRNA from 1 species